rnacentral:rRNA from 1 species
CCUACGGGUGGCUGCAGUAGGGAAUCUUUCACAAUGGGCGAAAGCCUGAUGGAGCAACGCCGCGUGCAGGAUGAAGGCCUUCGGGUUGUAAACUGCUUUUAUAAGCGAGCAAUAUGAUGGUAACUUAUGAAUAAGGAUCGGCUAACUACGUGCCAGCAGCCGCGGUCAUACGUAGGAUCCGAGCAUUAUCCGGAGUGACUGGGUGUAAAGAGUUGCGUAGGUGGCAUAAUAAGUAGCUAGUGAAAUCUGGUGGCUCAACCAUUCAGACUAUUAGCUAAACUGUUAAGCUCGUGACCGUUAGGGGUAACUGGAAUUUCUAGUGUAGGAGUGAAAUGCGUAGAUAUUAGAAGGAACACCAAUAGCGUAGGCAGGUUACGGGGACGGUUCUGACACUAAGACACGAAAGCGUAGGGAGCAAACGGGAUUAGAUACCCGGGUAGUC